rnacentral:rRNA from 1 species
GACGAACCGUGCGAACGUUGUUCGGAAUCACUGGGCUUAAAGGGCGCGUAGGCGGGCGGCCAAGUCCGGAGUGAAAUCCCCCAGCUUAACUGGGGAACAGCUUCGGAUACUGGCCGUCUCGAGUGGGGUAGGGGCGUGUGGAACGGUCGGUGGAGCGGUGAAAUGCGUAGAGAUCGGGAGGAACAUCAGUGGCGAAGGCGGCCAUCUGGAUCAAGCACUGAC